UGCAGCCUUUGAUGAACGGCCGUGAUUUCGCCGCAGCGCUGUUCAUUUCUUUCAGCGUGUAGGGGCCACCGCCCACCGGUGUGCUUGAGCGUGCGCAUCUCAGCGAGAGAGAGAGAGAGAAGACGAGGGGGAGCAGGCGAGCAGAGCAGAGAUGGAGGCGUUCAGGAAGCAGGCGAGCAAGUUCAAGGAGCAGGUCGCCAAGCAGCAGCAGGCUGUGAUAAAACAAUUCAGCACUACUGGUUACGAGCGUUCAGAUUCUGUUGUCAUUGAUGAAGUUGAAUUACAGCAACAUCAAAGGCUUGAGAAAUUGUACAGUUCUACUCGUUCUGGAAGGGAUUUCCAAAAGGACAUAGUUCGAGCAGCUGAAGGCUUGGUGUCUAUUGGAAGCAAGCAUAUUGAAGUGGGAACAAAAUUUUCUGAGGAUUGCUAUAGAUAUGGAGGUGAAAAUAAUGCUGAUGGUGAAGCUCUUACAAAAGCCGCAUCACUGUAUGGAGGUGCUUUGAGAAAUGUUGAAAAAGAGUAUGAAGAUUUCAAUAGAACUUUAUGUUCUCAGAUCAUAGAUCCAUUGAAGGCGAUGGCUGUGUGUGCUCCCCUGGAAGAAGCUCGCGGUUUUGCACAACGUUAUAGCCGGAUGAGACAUGAAGCUGAGAUACUCUCUGCUGAAAUUGCUAGAAGGAAGGCACGGGUAAGAGAAUCUCCAGUUGCUGAGCACACUACAAAACUUGAGCAAUCUGAAGGUAAAAUGAUAGAGCACAAAGCAAGCAUGGCUGUGUUGGGAAAAGAGGCUGUUGCUGCACUUGGUGCUGUUGAAUCUCAGCAAAAGAGGGUAACUCUUCAGCGCCUGGUUGGCAUGGUAGAAGCAGAGAAGUUGUUCUAUUUGAGGUUAGCUGCCAUACUUGAUGAUGUUGAAGCUGAGAUGUCAUCUGAGAAGCAAAAGAGAGAGUCUGCACCUCCUUCCCGUAAGCGUGCCGAGAUGGCCCAGUACUUCAUCGCCGAGGCAGUGCAUAACUUCAAUGGUACCACAGAGAAGGAACUGAGCUUAAUUGUUGGUGAUUAUGUUGUUGUUCGUCAGAUUGCUCCAAACGGUUGGGCGGAAGGGGAAUGCAGAGCGAAGGCAGGGUGGUUUCCGGCUGCCUAUGUCGAGAGGCGCGAGAAUAUCCCCCCGAAUAAAGUCUUCCCGCAGGCAUAGUUUGGCGCCUUAGUUUCUAAUGCUUCUAGCUGUCAUGUAGAUUCGUGCUGCUUUCUGUGCAAUAACUUGGUUAUUUGUUUGUUGUAUAUCAUCUUGCACCUCCCACGAGUGGUUCAGAACAUGCCAGUUGCAAUGACGCGUUUGGUUCGGCAGUAUUCCACCAUCUUCCGAUUACACCGCUCAGCGAAGACGUUACCGGCGUUCGGCAAUAUUCUCCUGAACCGGUAUUGUCAGAUCCGCUACACCUCCUUCUAUGUAUGUGUAACACCUUAUGCCCGACAUCACCCCUCUCUUGAGAAACGACGUGCCCUCACGGCAAUUGUUGCUGAGCAUGCCAUGACUGUGUGGUCACUUUGAAGAACUCUGGAAAUAUGUACUUAAUGAAAUCUGCAUCCUCCCACGUUGCAUCUUCUGGCGGCAGAUUUCCACUGAAUGUACCACUACACAACAGGUAAAUUAUUUCUAGGAACUUGUCUGACUUGAAGAACCAUUGCAGGGCCAGUCUUGACAGUAUCAUCAGCAGUUACCGUGGGUAAAUUGGGGCUGGGAAUUGAUUUAGAACCAAUAGGCUUCUUCAACUGACUGGCAUGAAAGACAAGGUGUAUUUUCACAUGAUCAUGGUGUCGGUGUUCGGAAAACAGAGGUACCUAGACUUGCCUGCCUGCGGCCCACGGUGUGGCUCCAUCAACGGCCAGGUAUGGCCCGGCUUUGACAUCGACAACUCAAGACCCUCGCGAGGUGGACUACACCAAGACCUCCAAAAGGAGCAGCCUCCUCAGGCUGGCUCCCGAGGAGCGGAGAUUUCCAUGCAAGCCUCACCUCGCGAGGUUCGGGUGACGUGAGCCAUGAUGACCAAGGCCAGGCGGGCGCCAGCGGACGCAGUGUACCAGUUUCCUCUUUGGUGCUAAGGAGGCAAGCGCAGACGCGGAGUCCCGAGGAAUCAGUCAAAGGUUUACAUUCUCGUGCAACAAGACCAAGACCGCCAGAACGACAGGACGGAGGUCAUCACCGAGCUCACCGCGGCGUCACGACCAGAGGCUUUUGUAGGCGAAGAGUACUAUCGUUAGGAUAAGAUGUACUAGUUGUCUUCCUUCGAAUUUGGCCGUUGUGGGAUCCCUUCCCGCCUUCAUUUGGGAAGAGGACCAAGGCCACUAUAAAUAGGACCUAGCCACCACCAUAGAGGAGGAUCGGAUCCAUUCCACCCUGACCCGCUCACCAGCUCACUUGAGCUCAAGAACACACCUCCUGAGGUUGUUCUCCAUUGUACUAGUUCAUCCUCAGUCCCUCGAGGCCAAUCCACCACAAAACAGGAGUAGGGUUUUACACCACAAGGUGGCCCGAACCUGGG
rnacentral:rRNA from 1 species